GACCGCGUAGCUCAGUUGGAAGAGCAUUGGGCUAGUAUUCCAAAGGUCGUAGGUUCGAAUCCCACCGUGAGCG
rnacentral:tRNA from 1 species